rnacentral:rRNA from 1 species
GAUGAACGCUGGCGGCGUGCCUAAUACAUGCAAGUCGAGCGAACAGACGAGGAGCUUGCUCCUCUGACGUUAGCGGCGGACGGGUGAGUAACACGUGGAUAACCUACCUAUAAUACUGGGAUAACUUCGGGAAACCGGAGCUAAUACCGGAUAAUAUAUUGAACCGCAUGGUUCAAUAGUGAAAGACGGUUUUGCUGUCACUUAUAGAUGGAUCCGCGCCGCAUUAGCUAGUUGGUAAGGUAACGGCUUACCAAGGCAACGAUGCGUAGCCGACCUGAGAGGGUGAUCGGCCACACUGGAACUGAGACACGGUCCAGACUCCUACGGGAGGCAGCAGUAGGGAAUCUUCCGCAAUGGGCGAAAGCUUGACGGAGCAACGCCGCGUGAGUGAUGAAGGUCUUCGGAUCGUAAAACUCUGUUAUUAGGGAAGAACAAAUGUGUAAGUAGCUAUGCACGUCUUGACGGUACCUAAUCAGAAAGCCACGGCUAACUACGUG